rnacentral:rRNA from 1 species
AACGAACGCUGGCGGCAGGCUUAACACAUGCAAGUCGAACGCAUCGCAAGAUGAGUGGCAGACGGGUGAGUAACGCGUGGGAAAUCUACCUAGUUCUACGGAACAACAGUUGGAAACGACUGCUAAUACCGUAUACGCCCUAUGGGGGAAAGAUUUAUCGGAAUUAGAUGAGCCCGCGUAAGAUUAGCUAGUUGGUGGGGUAAUGGCCUACCAAGGCGACGAUCUUUAGCUGGUCUGAGAGGAUGAUCAGCCACACUGGGACUGAGACACGGCCCAGACUCCUACGGGAGGCAGCAGUGGGGAAUAUUGGACAAUGGGCGCAAGCCUGAUCCAGCCAUGCCGCGUGAGUGAUGAAGGCCUUAGGGUUGUAAAGCUCUUUCACCGAUGAAGAUAAUGACGGUAGUCGGAGAAGAAGCCCCGGCUAACUUCGUGCCAGCAGCCGCAGUAACAC